UACGAAGGGGGCUAGCGUUGCUCGGAUUGACUGGGCGUAAAGGGCGCGUAGGCGGUUCGUACAGUCAGACGUGAAAUUCCUGGGCUCAACCUGGGGCUGCGUUUGAUACGUGCGGACUUGAGUGCGGAAGAGGGUCGUGGAAUUCCCAGUGUAGAGGUGAAAUUCGUAGAUAUUGGGAAGAACACCGGUGGCGAAGGCGGCGACCUGGUCCGAUACUGACGCUGAGGCGCGAAAGCGUGGGGAGCAAACAGG
rnacentral:rRNA from 1 species